rnacentral:rRNA from 1 species
AGCGAACGCUGGCGGCAGGCCUAACACAUGCAAGUCGAACGAACCUUUCGGGGUUAGUGGCGGACGGGUGAGUAACACGUGGGAACGUGCCUUUAGGUUCGGAAUAACUCAGGGAAACUUGUGCUAAUACCGAAUGUGCCCUUCGGGGGAAAGAUUUAUCGCCUUUAGAGCGGCCCGCGUCUGAUUAGCUAUUUGGGUGAGGUAAUGGCUCACCAAGGCGACGAUCAGUAGCUGGUCUGAGAGGAUGAUCAGCCACAUUGGGACUGAGACACGGCCCAAACUCCUACGGGAGGCAGCAGUGGGUAAUCUUGCGACAUGGGCGAAAGCCUGACGCAGCCAUGCCGCGUGAAUGAUGAAGGUCUUAGGAUUGUAAAAUUCUUUCACCGGGGACGAUAAUGACGGUACCCGGAGAAGAAGCCCCGGCUAACUUCGUG